UAGGGAAUCUUCGGCAAUGGGGGGAACCCUGACCGAGCAACGCCGCGUGAGUGAAGAAGGUUUUCGGAUCGUAAAGCUCUGUUGUUAAGGAAGAACGAGUGUGAGAAUGGAAAGUUCAUACUGUGACGGUACUUAACCAGAAAGGGACGGCUAACUACGUGGCAGCAGCCGCGGUAAUACGUAGGUCCCGAGCGUUGUCCGGAUUUAUUGGGCGUAAAGCGAGCGCAGGCGGUUAGAUAAGUCUGAAGUUAAAGGCAGUGGCUCAACCAUUGUAGGCUUUGGAAACUGUUUAACUUGAGUGCAGAAGGGGAGAGUGGAAUUCCAUGUGUAGCGGUGAAAUGCGUAGAUAUAUGGAGGAACACCAGUGGCGAAGGCGACUCUCUGGUCUGUAACUGACGCUGAGGCUCGAAAGCGUGGGUAGCAAACAGG
rnacentral:rRNA from 1 species